rnacentral:rRNA from 1 species
GUGGGGAAUAUUGCACAAUGGGCGCAAGCCUGAUGCAGCAACGCCGCGUGAGGGACGACGGCCUUCGGGUUGUAAACCUCUUUUAGCAGGGAAGAAGCGAAAGUGACGGUACCUGCAGAAAAAGCACCGGCUAACUACGUGCCAGCAGCCGCGGUAAUACGUAGGGUGCAAGCGUUGUCCGGAAUUAUUGGGCGUAAAGAGCUCGUAGGCGGUUUGUCGCGUCUGCUGUGAAAACCCGAGGCUCAACCUCGGGCCUGCGGUGGGUACGGGCAGACUAGAGUGCGGUAGGGGAGAUUGGAAUUCCUGGUGUAGCGGUGGAAUGCGCAGAUAUCAGGAGGAACACCGAUGGCGAAGGCAGAUCUCUGGGCCGUAACUGACGCUGAGGAGCGAAAGCGUGGGGAGCGAACAGGAUUAGAAACCCGGGUAGUCC